GGUCGGAUAAGGCGUUUACGCCGCAUCCGACAUCAAUGUCUGAUGCGAUGCUGACGUGUCUUAUCAGGCC
rnacentral:ncRNA from 1 species